UACGGGGGGGGGCAAGCGUUGUUCUGAAUUACUGGGCGUAAAGGGCUCGUAGGCGGCCAACUAAGUCAGACGUGAAAUCCCUCGGCUUAACCGGGGAACUGCGUCUGAUACUGGAUGGCUUGAGUUUGGGAGAGGGAUGCGGAAUUCCAGGUGUAGCGGUGAAAUGCGUAGAUAUCUGGAGGAACACCGGUGGCGAAGGCGGCAUCCUGGACCAACACUGACGCUGAGGAGCGAAAGCCAGGGGAGCAAACGGG
rnacentral:rRNA from 1 species